rnacentral:rRNA from 1 species
UGACGGUACCUGACUAAGAAGCUCCGGCUAAAUACGUGCCAGCAGCCGCGGUAAUACGUAUGGAGCAAGCGUUAUCCGGAUUUACUGGGUGUAAAGGGUGUGUAGGCGGCAUGGCAAGUCAGAAGUGAAAGACCGGGGCUCAACCCCGGGGCUGCUUUUGAAACUGUCGUGCUUGAGUCCAGGAGGGGCAAGCGGAAUUCCUAGUGUAGCGGUGAAAUGCGUAGAUAUUAGGAAGAACACCGGUGGCGAAGGCGGCUUGCUGGACUGGAACUGACGCUGAGGCACGAAAGCGUGGGGAGCAAACAGGAUUAGAUACCCUG